rfam:Triticum aestivum genome assembly, contig: Triticum_aestivum_CS42_TGACv1_scaffold_061072_1DL
UUUAUACUCCCUCCGUCCAAAAAUACUUGUCAUCAAAAUGGAUAAAAAGAGAUGUAUCUAGAAAGUAAAAUACAUCUAGAUACAACCCCUUUGAUCCAUUUUGAUGACAAGUAUUUCCGGACAGAGGGAGUAUCAU